rnacentral:rRNA from 1 species
UACAGAGGGUGCAAGCGUUAAUCGGAAUUACUGGGCGUAAAGCGUGCGUAGACGGUUAUGUAAGUCAGGUGUGAAAGCCCCGGGCUCAACCUGGGAAUUGCAUUUGAGACUGCAUAGCUAGGGUGCGGAAGAGGGAAGCGGAAUUUCCGGUGAUAGCGGUGAAAUGCGUAGAUAUCGGGAGGAACACCCAUGGCGAAGGCAGCAGCUGGCGAGAC